CCUCUCUCUCCCUCUCUCUCCGCAGCCAGGCACCACCCCUUUCUUCACCUCUUCCUUUUCUUCCAUAUCUCAUCUCCUCCGUAACGCCUCCCCCUUCCCCUUUCCUCUGUCUCCUAUCCCCCGCCGCUCUGUUUUCAUCCUUGUUCUGGACAGCACUCCUGAACCAUAUCUUCCUCCCUGUCAACGUGCGAGUUAUCUUCUCAUUGUUGUGCCGUGACUUCAAACACAGAAAGAGGAAUACGCGGACUUGACGAGGUACCUUCAAUUAGCAUAGCCUUCCGUCUUCUCCGCCACCCACUCUGUGAUGGUGGAAAACAAGGUUCGUGUGUGACACCGCAACCGAAUCUAAACUGGGAAGAGUGCAAGUCACCAGGACUGCAAAUUAGUGAGGCCGCACAACUGUCAGAGGACCUGUCUGUCAGCCAGCUCUCAAGUCAUAACAAAUCACUGGCACUCAGCUGAGGCUGAGCAUUGGGAGCGUCAGGGGGAAGAUAAAUGACCUGCAGGCCUUUGAAGUGCUUUGGCAGUUCAGAUGGCUCGGCGGCGCUGACAGAGAAAUAUACACAACAGCAUAACCAAUAAUGAGAACAUUAAACAUUCCUGCCUCCUGACAGGCUGACAGGAAAGCCCAGCCUGGCAUCAAUCAUCUUCCCAGGCAUAACCUUGACAAUUAGUCUCUUCUCUGCCUCCAGCUCUCACCCCUUUCUCUCCAGACUCCAAUACCCAGGCUGCACUGGCUGCCAGGCUGAAGGCAGGGCGAGGGUGACAGCAGGGGAACACGGGCGGCAAUCAGUGGACCGUGGACGGUUCCGUGUCCCCAUCGGUAGGUGACGGGAUUGGGGAACGCCAACAUGUCGGGGGCAUCGUGUCAGAUUUGUAGAGUCCUCCCAGGCCGGGACAGCGUGAAUAUUCUGUACUCAUUUUCCCUCCCACCUUGACUGUCGUAGAACAAUUAUAAUUUAGCAGAUCAUUUGGAGCUCUCCGCCACAGCUCCAUCAAAUUCAUCGUAGAUUAUGAAAAUAAUCUGCAUGGCAUUGCUGAGCCGCGAGACGCACGGAUACCACCACUGAGAGCAGGAACAGGGCCGCGCCUUUGCUGAGGACAGCACACACUUGUGUUUCCUCCAUUAGCCGCGUGCAUUUAAAUCAGCACAGACAAGCUGACCCCCACCGAAAUGUUUAUGCUCUCAAGUUUCCAGCGCUGGCACACCGCUCUGCCCGGACAUUCUGUUG
rnacentral:lncRNA from 1 species